rnacentral:misc_RNA from 1 species
CCCCAUGGAACCCGAAAGCCCGUGGCCUAACCUUGUGGGGGGAGCGGUCGAAGGUGGGAUUGGCGAUUGGGACGAAGUCGUAACAAGGUAGCCGUACCGGAAGGUGCGGCUGGAUCACCUCCUUUCUAAGGAGCCUCAUGUGCCUGCGAUCAUGGUGGUUGUGGGUGUGUUUGUGGGGUUUUUAGUGGUU